rnacentral:rRNA from 1 species
AUACGGAGGGGGUUAGCGUUGUUCGGAAUUACUGGGCGUAAAGCGCACGUAGGCGGAUUGGAAAGUUGGGGGUGAAAUCCCAGGGCUCAACCCUGGAACUGCCUCCAAAACUAACAGUCUAGAGUUCGAGAGAGGUGAGUGGAAUUCCAAGUGUAGAGGUGAAAUUCGUAGAUAUUUGGAGGAACACCAGUGGCGAAGGCGGCUCACUGGCUCGAUACUGACGCUGAGGUGCGAAGGCGUGGGGAGCAAACAGGAUUAGAAACCCGUGUAGUCC